rnacentral:rRNA from 1 species
UACGUAGGGUGCAAGCGUUAUCCGGAAUUAUUGGGCGUAAAGAGCUCGUAGGCGGUUUGUCGCGUCUGCUGUGAAAACUGGAGGCUCAACCUCCAGCCUGCAGUGGGUACGGGCAGACUAGAGUGCGGUAGGGGAGAUUGGAAUUCCUGGUGUAGCGGUGGAAUGCGCAGAUAUCAGGAGGAACACCGGUGGCGAAGGCGGGUCUCUGGGCAGUAACUGACGCUGAGGAGCGAAAGCAUGGAGAGCGAACAGG